AAUGAACGCUGGCGGCGUGCCUAACACAUGCAAGUCGAACGAGAAAGCCCGCAAGGGUGAGUACAGUGGCGCACGGGUGAGUAAUACAUAGGAAUCUGCCUCUGAGUGAAGAAUACCCUAGAGAAAUUUAGGUUAAUACUGCAUAAGCCCCGAAAUGGGGAAAGGUGGCCUCAAGCUACCGCUGAGAGAUGAGCCUAUGGCCUAUUAGCUAGUUGGUAGGGUAAAAGCCUACCAAGGCGAGGAUGGGUAGCCGGCCUGAGAGGGUGUACGGGCACACUGGAACUGAGACACGGUCCAGACUCCUACGGGAGGCAGCAGUGGGGAAUUUUGGACAAUGGGCGCAAGCCUGAUCCAGCAAUGCCGCGUGCAGGAAGAAGGCCUUCGGGUUGUAAACUGCUUUUGUACGGAACGAAACGGCUCUCUCUAAUACAGAGGGCUAAUGACGGUACCGUAAGAAUAAGCACCGGCUAACUACGUGCCAGCCGCCGCGGUAA
rnacentral:rRNA from 1 species